rnacentral:lncRNA from 7 species
CCCGUGCGCUCGGCUAUUAGCGGUGCGAUGCGAUUCUUAGUGCGUAGUUGCUAGAUCUGUGCGUAUAUAUACAUGUACAGGGGACGCUUGUAAUUGGACUUCAAUAUACGGUGUAGGUUGUUGGUGCCAUGGUGGGAUAAAGAGCAUGUGUCAUGUAAAUUUGGGAAAAAGGAUCGUAGCUUUCCUAUAUGGUUGUACAUAGCGGGUUUUCAUUCUUUGUCAUGUUCGGUUAUUAGAUCCGCAGAGGGGCCUGCCUCCAGCUAAUCAUUCUUUGUCAUGUUUAGGCUCAUAGAUAGAUAGAUAGAUCAGAGUCGCACACAGCAGUUAACAUUGCCCUCCCACUAAGACAUACAUUUACCUGUUCUGUUCAUGCGGGCCGAGUAAUUUUUUUUAUUAUCAAGCAAGGAGAUAAGGAUAGUGCUCAUGCACCAUGGUAGACUAGUCAUGUACUUGAGCAUACAAGCCUGCUGAGUGCUUUCAGGGCCAUCAGGCCUUACAGUGGGACACUAGCAAAUCUAGUAUGCUCGUGUAUGUGUAUGUGUAUGUACAGAACAGCACAGUCUUCAGAUUGAAAUUGAAGUUUCAGAGU